CCACCCCCCUGGACCCCGCCCUCAUCAGGACCAACGGGGACAAGAGUCACCUCCUUGUUUUCAUCCUCGUUGGUGUCGCUGUUGCUGCUGUUGUUGUUGCUGCUGCUGUUGUUGGAGUCUUUGUGUCCCAGAAGAGGAACGAUUCAGACAAGCGUCACAAACCAGUUGGUUCUUCUGACAGCUGCUCUGAGAACACUGAGGGGCAGAAUCCGGCUCCUGAGGCCCAACCUAUGACCGGAGAGACCCCAUCUACGUAGUUUCCUGGCCGUGACUGCCCUCUAG